rnacentral:rRNA from 1 species
GACGAACGCUGGCGGCGUGCUUAACACAUGCAAGUCGAACGGAAAGGCCCUGCUUUUGUGGGGUGCUCGAGUGGCGAACGGGUGAGUAACACGUGAGUAACCUGCCCUUGACUUUGGGAUAACUUCAGGAAACUGGGGCUAAUACCGGAUAGGAGCUCCUGCUGCAUGGUGGGGGUUGGAAAGUUUCGGCGGUUGGGGAUGGACUCGCGGCUUAUCAGCUUGUUGGUGGGGUAGUGGCUUACCAGGGCUUUGACGGGUAGCCGGCCUGAGAGGGUGACCGGCCACAUUGGGACUGAGAUACGGCCCAGACUCCUACGGUAGGCAGCAGUGGGGAAUAUUGCACAAUGGGCGGGAGCCUGAUACAGCAACGCCGCGUGCGGGAUGACGGCCUUCGGGUUGUAAACCGCUUUCGCCGUUGACGAAGCGUGAGUGACGGUAAUGAGUAAAGAAGCACCGGCUAACUACGUG